AUUGAACGCUGGCGGUAUGCUUAAGACAUGCAAGUCGAACGGUAACAGACCCUUCGGGUGCUGACGAGUGGCGGACGGGUGAGUAACACGUGGGAAUCUACCUUGUAGUGGGGGAGUAAGCCAGGGAAACUUGGACUAAUACCGCAUACGCCCUAAGGGGAAAGGAGCAAUUCGCUAUAAGAUGAGCCCGCGUCUGAUUAGCUAGUUGGUGAGGUAAAGGCUCACCAAGGCGACGAUCAGUAGCUGGUCUGAGAGGAUGACCAGCCACAUUGGGACUGAGACACGGCCCAGACUCCUACGGGAGGCAGCAGUCGGGAAUAUUGGACAAUGGGGGCGAACCCUGAUCCAGCAAUACCGCGUGUGUGAAGAAGGCCUGCGGGUU
rnacentral:rRNA from 1 species